UACGGGGGGGGCAAGCGUUGUUCGGAAUUACUGGGCGUAAAGGGCUCGUAGGUGGCCAACUAAGUCAGACGUGAAAUCCCCAGGCUUAACCUGGGAACUGCGUCUGAUACUGGAUGGCUUGAAUUCGGGAGAGGGAUGCAGAAUUCCAGGUGUAGCGGUGAAAUGCGUAGAUAUCUGGAGGAACACCGGUGGCGAAGGCGGCAUCCUGGACCGACACUGACGCUGAGGAGCGAAAGCCAGGGGAGCAAACGGG
rnacentral:rRNA from 1 species